rnacentral:ribozyme from 14 species
UUUUUACUUUUUUUUUUUUUUGUACUUUUUUCAUUUUUUUUAUUCCAAUCGAUCGGGAGUUGAUUCGAUUCGGAAA